UCAGAUGCCAGGGUGGGCUUCCUCUUCUGCCUGACUGGGUUUCUGCCAUGGACAUCAUCAGAGCAAAUGAAGUGUUGGAUAUUGAAGCCAGUACCUAGAACAUGUGUGGCAAGCUGUUUACCACUGAGCAACACAGCCUCUGCUCCUAAGGGUCUAUCUAAAAGAAAUUAAAUGUGUUUAUACAGA